rnacentral:rRNA from 1 species
ACUCAAAUGAAUUGACGGGGACCCGCACAAGCAGCGGAGCAUGUGGUUUAAUUCGAAGCAACGCGAAGAACCUUACCAGGGCUUGACAUCCCCCUGAUAGGCCCGUAACGGGGCCCUCCUUCGGGCAGGGGAGACAGGUGGUGCAUGGUUGUCGUCAGCUCGUGUCGUGAGAUGUUGGGUUAAGUCCCGCAACGAGCGCAACCCUUGUCAUUAGUUGCCAUCAUUUGGUUGGGCACUCUAGUGAGACUGCCGGGGAUAACUCGGAGGAAGGUGGGGAUGACGUCAAAUCAUCAUGCCCCUUAUGUCCUGGGCUACACACGUGCUACAAUGGCCGGUACAACAAGACGCAAUACCGUGAGGUGGAGCAAAUCUCAAAAACCGGCCCCAGUUCGGAUUGCAGGCUGCAACUCGCCUGCAUGAAGCCGGAGUUGCUAGUAAUCGCAGAUCAGAAUGCUGCGGUGAAUGCGUUCCCGGGUCUUGUACACACCGCCCGU